UACUUAGCACAAGAUCUAAGGAGCAGUGCCGUCUCCAGUGUUUUUGCCACCCCAAGCCUCUUCGGGAGGGACCGAGGGACCCGCCGCCGAAGAGCCGGACGUGCCGCCCCUUUCCAUUGGCCGCCCCAAACACCUGCUUGCUGCACUGGUGCCUGGCGCCGGCCCUGCUAAGGAGGGUUUCACGUUAAGGUCAGACCUGCAGGACAGGAGAAGCCAUUGCUGAUGAAAAGACAUAAAAGUACUGUGAAGAUUAAACUUCAAAGGGUCAUGAUUGCUGUCUCAUUUUCUCCAAGGGAAUUUAGGUGAAGGAAAAACGUUCCCAGAAGAUGUGGAAUAUAUGCUCUGGUAUGACUGCUUCCUGCAGUUCUCUAAUUCUUCCCACCCUAACAAGGGCAAAGGAUAGCAGAGGGACAUGAAGGAAGAAAAGAAGAUACG